UGGGGAAUAUUGGACAAUGGGCGRAAGCCUGAUCCAGCCACGCCGCGUGUGUGAUGAAGGCCUUCGGGUUGUAAAGCACUGUCGAGGGGGAAGAAGUUCUGACUGUACCCCUCAAGAAAGCACCGGCUAACUCCGUGCCAGCAGCCGCGGUAAUACGGAGGGUGCAAGCGUUGCUCGGAAUCACUGGGCGUAAAGCGCACGCAGGCGGCUUUUCAAGUCGGAUGUGAAAGCCCCGGGCUCAACCCGGGAACUGCAUUCGAAACUGGGAGGCUUGAGUUCGAGAGAGGGUGGUGGAAUUCCUGGUGUAGAGGUGAAAUUCGUUGAUAUCAGGAGGAACAUCGGCGGCGAAGGCGGCCACCUGGCUCGAUACUGACGCUCAUGUGCGAAAGCGUGGGGAGCAAACAGGAUUAGAUACCCUGGUAGUCCACGCCGUAAACGAUGAUUGCUAGGUGUAGGAGGUAUUCACCCCUUCUGUGCCGAAGUUAACGCAUUAAGCAUUCCGCCUGGGGAGUAC
rnacentral:rRNA from 1 species